rnacentral:rRNA from 1 species
UGUGAGGCUAGUGUGUAGGCAAAUCCGCACAUUGUUAGGCUGGGCUGUGAUGGGGAGCGAAAAUUAUAGUAGCGAAGGUCAUGUACUCCGGCUGUCAAGAAAAGCCUCUAGCCAGGUGAAGGUGCCCGUACCGCAAACCGACACAGGUAGGCGAGCAGAGCAUGCUAAGGCGCGCGGAAGAACUCUCGUUAAGGAACUCGGCAAAAUGACCCCGUAACUUCGGGAGAAGGGGUGCCUCGGUAGGGUGAAUAGCCCGAGGGGGCCGCAGUGAAAAGGCCCAAGCGACUGUUUAGCAAAAACACAGGUCUGUGCGAAGCCGUAAGGCGAAGUAUACGGGCUGACGCCUGCCCGGUGCUGGAAGGUUAAGGGGAGCGGUUAGGGGUAACCCGAAGCUGUGAACCGAAGCCCCAGUAAACGGCGGCCGUAACAAUAACGGUCCUAAGGUAGCGAAAUUCCUUGUCAGGUAAAUUCUGACCCGCACGAAUGGCGUAACGACUUGGGCGCUGUCUCAACGAGAGAUCCGGUGAAAUUUUAAUACCUGUGAAGAUGCAGGCUACCCGCGACAAGACGGAAAGACCCCAUGGAGCUUUACUGUAACUUGAUAUUGGACUUUGGUACGAUCUGUACAGGAUAGGUGGGAGCCUGAGAAGCAUGAGCGCCAGCUUGUGUGGAGGCGACGUUGGGAUACCACCCUGAUCGUAUCGGAGUUCUAACCUAGAACCGUGAAACCGGUUCGGGGACCGUGUCAGGUGGACAGUUUGACUGGGGCGGUCGCCUCCUAAAAUGUAACGGAGGCGCCCAAAGGUUCCCUCAGAAUGGUUGGAAAUCAUUCGAAGAGUGCAAAGGCAUAAGGGAGCUUGACUGCGAGACCUACAAGUCGAGCAGGGACGAAAGUCGGGCUUAGUGAUCCGGUGGUACCGAAUGGAAGGGCCAUCGCUCAACGGAUAAAAGCUACCCUGGGGAUAACAGGCUUAUCUCCCCCAAGAGUCCACAUCGACGGGGAGGUUUGGCACCUCGAUGUCGGCUCAUCGCAUCCUGGGGCUGAAGUAGGUCCCAAGGGUUGGGCUGUUCGCCCAUUAAAGCGGUACGCGAGCUGGGUUCAGAACGUCGUGAGACAGUUCGGUCCCUAUCUGUCGCGGGCGCAGGAAAUUUGAGAGGAGCUGUCCUUAGUACGAGAGGACCGGGAUGGACGUACCGCUGGUGUACCAGUUGUUCCGCCAGGAGCACCGCUGGGUAGCCAAGUACGGACGGGAUAAGCGCUGAAAGCAUCUAAGCGUGAAGCCCCCCUCAAGAUGAGAUUUCCCAGUAUGUAAGACCCCUUGAAGACGACGAGGUUGAUAGGUUCGGGGUGGAAGCACAGCAAUGUGUGUAGCUGACGAAUACUAAUCGGUCGAGGGCUUAUCC